rnacentral:rRNA from 1 species
UAUAUCAGAACUGUGGGGACACAGAGGGAAAGCACAGGCGCGGAACGGAAAGCCGCGUGCAAGCGAGGUACCGGACUGGUAGGAAAAUCCGCCAGUUAACGGGAAGGCGUGAUGCGUACCGAAAUCAAGUAGGGAAGUGUGUGAGCCAGCUGUCAAGAAAAGCCGCUAUUGCGUAUACAGUACCCGUACCGUAAACCGACACAGGUGGAUGAGGAGAGAAUCCUAAGGCCGGCGGAAGAAGUAUUGUCAAGGAACUCGGCAAAAUGACCCUGUAACUUCGGGAGAAAGGGUGCCUCGAAAGAGGCCGCAGAGAAUUGGCCCAAGCAACUGUUUAGCAAAAACACAGGUCUAUGCGAAACCGAAAGGUGAGGUAUAUGGGCUGACGCCUGCCCGGUGUUGGAAGGUUAAGGGGAGAUGUUAGAGCAAUCGAAGCAUUGAACUUAAGCCCCAGUAAACGGCGGCCGUAACAAUAACGGUCCUAAGGUAGCGAAAUUCCUUGUCGGGUAAGUUCCGACCCGCACGAAAGGCGUAAUGAUUUGGGCGCUGUCUCGACAAUACAUCCGGUGAAAUUCAAGUACCAGUGAAGAUGCUGGUUACCCGCGCCAGGACGGAAAGACCCCAUGGAGCUUUACUCCAGCUUGAUACUGGGAUUCGGUAUUGCAUGUACAGGAUAGGUGGGAGGCUAAGAAGCAUGGACGCCAGUCUAUGUGGAGCCGCUGUUGGGAUACCACCCUUGCGGUAUUGGAUUUCUAACCAGCCGCCGUGAAACCGGCGGUGGGACAAUGUCAGGCGGGGAGUUUGACUGGGGCGGUCGCCUCCGAAAGGGUAUCGGAGGCGCCCAAAGGUUCCCUCAGAAUGGUUGGAAACCAUUCGAAGAGUGCAAAGGCAGAAGGGAGCUUGACUGUGACACCGACGGGUGGAGCAGGUACGAAAGUAGGGCUUAGUGAUCCGGUGGUAUUAAGUGGGAAUGCCAUCGCUCAACGGAUAAAAGCUACCCUGGGAUAACAGGCUUAUCACUCCCAAGAGUUCACAUCGACGGAGUGGUUUGGCACCUCGAUGUCGGCUCAUCGCAUCCUGGGGCUGUAGUAGGUCCCAAGGGUUGGGCUGUUCGCCCAUUAAAGCGGUACGCGAGCUGGGUUCAGAACGUCGUGAGACAGUUCGGUCCCUAUCCGGCGUGGGCGCAGGAUAUUUGAGAGGAGCUGUCCUUAGUACGAGAGGACCUGGAUGGACUGACCUCUGGUGCACCGGUUGUUCCGCCAGGAGCAUAGCCGGGUAGCCAAGUCGGGAAGGGAUAAACGCUGAAGGCAUCUAAGCGUGAAGCCCCCCUCAAGAUGAGAUAUCCCAUGCGAAAGCGAUAAGACCCCUUGAAGACGACGAGGUAGAUAGGUCAGAGGUGGAAGCACAGUAAUGUGUGGAGCUGACUGAUACUAAUAGGUCGAAGGCUUAAUC